ensembl:snoRNA
GGGGUGUGCUCAGAGCAGGGAACCUGAAGAAUGGCUUCCCUGUUUACAACACACCCAACAAGAAUCUAGGGUCAUUGUGAUGAGGGGCCCAAAACGUGUGGCCUCCCUACCAACAAAUGCCCUACACAU